UUCACGCUAGAAAGCUAUCCUUAUCUCUUUUACAUUGCUCUAAUUUGUCAUGACUAUUAGGAAAUUCAUUACAUUUAAUGCCUUACCCCACCAAUGCUGAUUCUGUCGCUACAACAGUUUACAAAUAACAAAAGAGUUAUAGCUUCGGACUGCAGUGCGGCAACCUACAACGGUAUACAGUUCUCUUACCAGUACUUGCAACAGAAUAAUACAUCCUGAAUAGAGUUCUUAUUUUUCGUCACCUCUUCUUGACCCCAGUAUCUUUAUGAUCUGUUGAACAUUAAUUGAAGUACUCGUUGCUUCAGACCCUUCGUGGGUGUCAAAUUGCGAGCUUCCAAGCCUUGCGAAUAAGCACAACAGAGCUAUGCGUUGUUCUGCUGACAGCCGAAGUCUCCCACAGAAGUCAUGAAGGCUGGAAAUCUGAAAAACUGCUGGUCAUUUCGUUUUCUAAAGCGCUUCAUCAUAAUGCGUUUCCCAUUGGGGAAAUUGUAUUUAAUAAGAAAAGAAUUUUUAUAAAGCCACUGUAGAACGAAUACCAGGAUGUAGAGGUAGCAUUCCUAGUGACAUUGAAAGUAUUCUUCAAGAUCGUACACUAUCUCAGUAGUUCUUAACUCAUGGAAUUACUAAAACUGCCUUAUUAGUUUUUCUAUAAAUCAAUAUUGUAAUAUCUAAAGAAGGUGACGCAGUCGAAUACUUCACUGAAACAAUAAUAGUUAGUGCCUGGUCUUUUUUCGGUCGGUGAAUUUCUAUUAAAACGUUAUGUACUCUAUGUACUUCACACAAACUAUUUUCUUCUAGAGCCUUCCAGUGGGCCUCAUCUAAAUAGAAUUUGUAUUUAUUACAUUAAAAGAAAGAUCUGUUGUUAUAAGCUUUGCUUUAAAAGCUUUAGCGUAGAACUAUCUUCCAGAAUGCUAAACAUUAGCAGCCACGUUGAAAUACGCUUUCUUCUCAUAAUUGCCAAACACUAAAGAGUUUCUUCAGCAGUAUUUAAAUAUUUAAAAUUAUAAUACGACAGUUCAACUACAACAUUAUUUUUAAUAAUGUUUACAUUAAAAGAGAUCCUGUUUCUUGCUUUUUAAUAACUUUUAUUUCAAAAUAUUUUUGGAGAAUGAGCAUUUUAGAAAGAGUAAUUUGUUUACUGCGUACUACAGUCUUUCUCUGCAUAGGAGAACUGUAUGUGAAAGAUUGUUCAUAUCAUGAAUAGUACAACAGCAAAUUAUAGUUCACCUUGAGAAUUCAUAUCACCUACCAUAUCAUGUGAAUUUAGUAGUCCCUGUAGACAUAUCAUGCCUGAUUCUGAGAAAUAACAUUUGUUUCAUUUUAUCGUUGCUCAUUACACCCACUGAAACAUUAUACGCCGUAAACAUACCAUUCCAGUGUCAGAAACAUAGGUUUUAUCAAAAAUAAGUAAAUACUCUACUUUAUGUAAAAAUAUUAUGUUGAUAGACAUUGUGUAGAUUGUUUCAUCGUAAGAGAACAUCCCUCUUGUUUACCGUAUCGAAAACUAUAAAAACUUUUGAGGCAAACAAACUGACCUUCUUUGGCAUGGUUAUCAGGUAAUCAGUUCUGAAAUAUGUUAUCCGUAAUGUAUGUGGUACAAUAUAUGGUGUGAUAAGAAUCUUACUGCUAAUCAGAAAAAAUGUGUAUGUGUAAAGAUUCCCGGAAAUACCAGUAGAGUAAUUAUGUUUGCUUUAGUGUGUAUUGAUUUCUUAGACAGUCUCAACAACUUCUGUUCACAGACUGAAAUCUUAAUAUGGUGUGACUACUUUAGUGAAAAAAGUGAUACAAUAUUUUCAUGCUUCUGAUAAAUGCUGUUGUUAAAAAGGUUAUUCAAGAAACUUUACGUAACAAGAGACAGACAUUCUGGAACUAUGACUCUGUGUGCAACAAUAAGCAAACGUGUUUUAUAUACAGUCACUACAUCAUAUGCCGCUGAAAGUGGAAAUGAAGAUAAAAGGAAAUACGUUGUUCUUCUGUUGUGAUACUGACACUAUUGAGAGAAGCUGAAUCAACAUGGGCACCAGUAGAGCUCUACAGUCAAAGUGAAAAAAGCCUGUAAACACAAACAUACUGACAGUAGCCGUCCCAACCCUUUUCGCCGUGUGCUGGAGUUCCACCGCCAUCCGUCGAGGACCAACUGGAGAUGCCGGGAACCGGGCAGCACCCACCAGAAUGAGCUCUGGGUCCAAGUGAUGCACCCCCACAGCGGCCGCCCAUCGAGUUGAUGCUGCUGGCAGGAACCCACGACACAUACCACAAUGAGCACCCAGCUGUGUACUAGGCACAUCGCAAAGCCUUCGGUAUUUUCACAGAUGAGCGAGACAGGUAGUUGCCCAUGCCUCCUCCAAACAAUUCAGUCACCGCGCAGUUUCUAUUGCGACACCGGAAACUGCACUCUUGAUAAAUUCAUUCUCAGAUGAUUGAAGGCUUUCUCGGAUUUUGUCGAGUUGUAUGUCGCUCACAUGUUUUGUCUUAUUUUUGGUCCAGCUUACCCCUGGGAAUUACAUUUACGUGUUUAUCAUGUUUUUUGUCCGUUUCUCAUUUUCCUUAGUAGUCAACGUAUCGGACUAUAAAACAAAAAAUUUCUGCAUGAGGAUUAUAUUUUCCAUUUCGGUGAAAACGACUUCUUACUGUUUGAAAAAUAUAUGCACACAUUAUGGGAUGAGGGUUCUGUAAAUGAAGUAAGAGAUUUUCAAGCUGCGCUGUAUAAUUUGUGGCUCUGUUACGUCAUGCAGUGCUGAUCUGGUGAAAAUCUCUUUUUUUUUUUUUAACUCUGCUUUGGUAACUGUCGUUCGUGGUCUCAGAAACGAUUAAGAUGCAAGUUUCACAGAAGGAAAGCGCACAGAUAGUAUCACUGAACAGACACCACGAUCCACUUAGUCACUCAUCUCAUAAGUAAAUUAUAAUAAUCCUUCAGGAGAUCGUCUUGAAGACUUUUGCUGUAGACAAUAAUAUACAUUGACAAUAGCUUUUCCAGUUUUACGACGUUGUUAUUCAAGUGUCGACAGUUGUUGACAUAGGUCCUUUCUUCGUGGCGAUUAUCACCAGGACCGCAUGAUUUACUAAUGUAGCUCUAUUUUCAUUCUUGCGAAUGCGCAGAUUUUAUUACUAAAAUUAGGAAUAUAGACUAGAUUUUUGCAUUUCUUCUACUUUCUCGUUAUUGAGUGACAAUCUGAUUUCAGUGAUGUUGUUUGAUGUCUUCAUUCUACCUAGUCCUUUCAGAAAGCCGUGCUAUAUAUGUCGUGUACAUUGUGCUCCUCACCAAACUGACAGUGCUAAGUUCAAGACCAGCAGAACUCCAUUUGAAUUAGGUAGAUCUAUCAUCAGGACCUACUCCUGUUUCUAGAACCUCUCAAACUAACUGCCAAAAUUUUAUUAGAUUUUCUGCAUUAGAAAAUGAUGUAUACAGAGGUAUUAACGUAAUAUGCAUAUUUUCAGUUUAGUUUUUAUAAGCUGAAUGAAAGUGAAAUAUAUGAAUUCAAGCAUCACGAGUGAUACCACUGACGCCUUUACGUCAUAUCGCACAAGUGCCAGUUGCCUGUCAACACGUGGCAUCUCCCAUAGUAACCCUUCACGUUGAAUAUUUCCGUCACCAAAACACAACUCUCUUAAUCACUGGUAGACGAUGUCCUCAAAUCAUCCACUAUAGCUACCAGAAGACUACUGCUAUGACAGACCAUAUGCAACAUGGUUCCCCUUCAUGUGCGCUGUAACACCAGAAACAGAGAUACAUUAAGUUGGGUUAUCUACUCUUUUAAAAACAAGUGCACUUAGUAACACUAUAGUAACAAUCUUAACAAGACAAUAAGAAUACACACAAAAACUAUUUCCUUCAAUGGUCACCUUUAUUCUCACAAAGCACGGAUAAUGACUGCACAAAGCGGCACCAGUAGCAUUGUGACUCAAAGCAUCGUUGUUCGUGUGAGACUGCUUUUAUGACAGUGCCAAAUGGAGAAUCAGCUAGCUGAGUGACCCGGGUGGUCCCCAGGGGUAAGCGGCACUUUGUCCUCGAAACUACUGCUUGGUUUUGAUCAUUCCUAGCCGCGCGGUUGACCAAUACUGCAGCAAUUUCGAAGAUGAGGAGCAUGUUGAAUAAAAUAAGAAGUUACCCGUUUGUAAAUAAAUGCAGAUGAAUUUAAAACUUCUAAUUGGUACGCACGUUUGUCAACAUUUUCUGUCGCAGAAACUAUAUAAGUAUGGAACAAUAUAAUAUGCUCGGGUACUCGCUGUCUUUCAUGAACAAUAAAUAGAGAAUAGUUUCCACAUACGUGGUUCUGUUUCUUCCACAUGUGUCGAAUGAUAGGACUAAUUCCGUUACGAUGGAAAGAAAAACAAAGGAACAUAAGGCGAAUAUUUUACCACCACUACUAUGGCGAAUGUCAUACCCUUUGUCGCAUUAUGUACCUGUAUUACAGACUCCUGCACUACAUACCGCCGUGAACUAGUGAGUCGGUUCAUACAUAUGUCGAUAAUUGUUUAACUGUGGAGAAGAUUCAACAGUUUCCUUUCUGCAGACUCUGUUAUCAUACUGGGGAAGUGUGUUGCAAUUGAUAAAUAUGUAGCUCUAACUAAAAUUAAGCAAUGGACUUGAAAAAUUUAUCUCUCGCUGUUUGAUAUGACGUAAGCAUAUAACCAAAUGUUUGCAUUACGAGUUGUUUUACAAAUGAGGAGGGAUUUGUUUUGUUGUUAUUAUUGUCGCAUUGCUUCUAACAGAAGGUAACAUGUUAAUAAAUUGAGUACCCUCCCACAUAUCACCGAAUUUACGUAGCUUCAAUGGAAGCUACAGAAGACACAAUUUAAGCUAUGUCAGCUUCAGAACAUUAAACUUUGCAAACAAAGCUACAUUCUGUUUCACGAGUAUGUCGGUGAUUAUUUAAAGAAAUGAUGUAAUAUUUUCAACCUUAACAAAGCAGUACUUUAUUUUAUUAAUCUUCUAAGCGUAAUUUAAUAUGUACAUUAUGAUAGUCUCUAAAGAAUUUAUUUUUCGUUUGUUGAAACAGAAUAGACAAUUUAUUUGAGAGACGUGUAUCUAUUAGAAGUAUCUUAGUGUUCUGUGCAUUGCAAGAGGCGUGUUUCGUUUGUAAAAAGUUAACCUCGUGGCUUUUUGAAAUGUGUAUCCGAGUAGCAACUUUCGUAAUCAUGUGAGAACUGUGAAGUUUCAUAGACUGUAACAUGUUGUGAAUUAUCAUUUCGACUUUGCCUUAAAAAACUGCUGAUCCCUUGGUAUUUUAUACAUGCGUUUGUACAUACAAAGAAUUAAGCAAAAUUUUAUUUGAGUAAAAGUGUAGCAAAAUGUUCCUACUGUCUGUUGUAUAUGUGCGCAUAACAUCGCUUCAUUAUGAGAAUGAUUGUAAAUUAUGUUACAUCUGAUGUUGAGAUACUGAUAAGAACAAUUUCAAAUAUAUAUGUAUACAUAUGUAUAAAAUCUUCCAUCUUCAACGCCAGCCACCGAGAAGAAUCGUUAUAUUGUCCACAGAAAGUAUUAUGAUAAGAAAACUACAAAAUCUCUCAUUUGUUUAAGGAUAUUGUUAUUGUUUACUUAAAGAUACAAAUGAGUCUUGCUUGGUAACAAAGCUUUAAAAUGGUGCUAGUCUGCACAGUGUAAACAGUUUCCGUUGGUUGACACCUUGUUUCUCGACUCCCGAGUCUCUGUUCGAGUCUGGCUGCCGGCCCCUCGGCGGGUGCGGACCGCGUGUCGCCGCUGCGGUUCGCCCCCCGCGGACACGCUUCACACCACCCAACACUCGUCUCGGCACUAACAGUACCUCACACUUUACAUUUACUGUGUUCAGUUACUUUCAUUUGUACGAGAUGUCUGUACUAUUUAAUGGAAUAAAAUGCCAUUUUCUUAGAUAA